CCCCCUCCUGAAAUUUAAAUAUUACCAAAAUAUUCACAACACAGAAUGUUUUAUUCUUCAGUCUUAGUUUGAUGUUAAUCUCCUGUUUCCCACAAAUAUACAUGGAGAUCUGAAAAUCUUGAAAACAAGACCAGAAACAGAAUACUGAACCCAAGGGGGGCAAAUUGAGCAGGGGACAAAUUGAUGCCCAGCAUUUGAGCAUCAACUGAAAGCUGUAAGAAUGGUUCUUGGAGUGACUGCAUGUCAUUCAUUCUCUGACAGGCUGCAGCAACGGCUAAAUGAUGUUUCCCAACUCAGACAUAAUGGAUUGCUGCUUCUCCCAGUAUGAGAAAAGAAGCCCCCAUGGGAAGGGCUGUUUUGUUGCCUCAGGUAGCACCGAGCAGCAUCAGGUUGGAAGAGGCAUGGCUGCCCUGGACAGCCUGGGCAGGGAGGCAGAGAAGGAACCAUCUCUUCAGGGACCUGGCAGGCUCCAAUGUGCUCGACUGAGUCACCUCACCUUCACUGAACCUCACUUACUGGCACAGGCAAUCCACUUCCUGCAUCUGAAAGAUAAUUUUAUACUUUAA
rnacentral:lncRNA from 1 species